GGAGGAGUACCGAAGUGGUUAUAACGGGACCGCCUCGAAAGCGGUUGUCGCCGCAAGGUGACCGUGGGUUCGAAUCCCACCUCCUCCG
rnacentral:tRNA from 1 species